CCUACGGGCGGCAGCAGUGAGGAAUAUUGGUCAAUGGGCGAGAGCCUGAACCAGCCAAGUCGCGUGAAGGAUGACUGUCUUAUGGAUUGUAAACUUCUUUUGUAGGGGAAUAAAGAGGGGCACGUGUGCCUCAGUGAAUGUACCCUACGAAUAAGCAUCGGCUAACUCCGUGCCAGCAGCCGCGGUAAUACGGAGGAUGCGAGCGUUAUCCGGAUUUAUUGGGUUUAAAGGGUGCGUAGGCGGCCUGUUAAGUCAGCGGUGAAAUCUAGGAGCUUAACUCCUAAAUUGCCAUUGAUACUGGCGGGCUUGAGUGUAGAUGAGGUAGGCGGAAUGCGUGGUGUAGCGGUGGAAUGCAUAGAUAUCACGCAGAACUCCGAUUGCGAAGGCAGCUUACUAAGGUACAACUGACGCUGAAGCACGAAAGCGUGGGUAUCAAACAGGAUUAGAUACCCCUGUAGUC
rnacentral:rRNA from 1 species